rnacentral:rRNA from 1 species
UACGGGGGGGGCAAGCGUUGUUCGGAAUUACUGGGCGUAAAGGGCUCGUAGGUGGCCAACUAAGUCAGACGUGAAAUCCCUCGGCUUAACCGGGGAACUGCGUCUGAUACUGGAUGGCUUGAGUUUGGGAGAGGGACGCGGAAUUCCAGGUGUAGCGGUGGAAUGCGUAGAGAUCCGGAGGAAGACCGGUGGCGAAGGCGGCCUGCUGGGCAGUUACUGACGCUGAGGCGCGACAGCGUGGGGAGCAAACAGG